GAUAAACGCUGGCGGCGUGCCUAAUACAUGCGAGUCGAGCGAACGGACGAGAAGCUUGCUUCUCUGAUGUUAGCGGCGGACGGGUGAGUAACACGUGGAUAACCUACCUAUAAGACUGGGAUAACUUCGGGAAACCGGAGCUAAUACCGGAUAAUAUUUUGAACCGCAUGGUUCAAAAGUGAAAGACGGUCUUGCUGUCACUUAUAGAUGGAUCCGCGCUGCAUUAGCUAGUUGGUAAGGUAACGGCUUACCAAGGCAACGAUGCAUAGCCGACCUGAGAGGGUGAUCGGCCACACUGGAACUGAGACACGGUCCAGACUCCUACGGGAGGCAGCAGUAGGGAAUCUUCCGCAAUGGGCGAAAGCCUGACGGAGCAACGCCGCGUGAGUGAUGAAGGUCUUCGGAUCGUAAAACUCUGUUAUUAGGGAAGAACAUAUGUGUAAGUAACUGUGCACAUCUUGACGGUACCUAAUCAGAAAGCCACGGCUAACUACGUGCCAGCAGCCGCGGUAAUACGUAGGUGGCAAGCGUUAUCCGGAAUUAUUGGGCGUAAAGCGCGCGUAGGCGGUUUUUUAAGUCUGAUGUGAAAGCCCACGGCUCAACCGUGGAGGGUCAUUGGAAACUGGAAAACUUGAGUGCAGAAGAGGAAAGUGGAAUUCCAUGUGUAGCGGUGAAAUGCGCAGAGAUAUGGAGGAACACCAGUGGCGAAGGCGACUUUCUGGUCUGUAACUGACGCUGAUGUGCGAAAGCGUGGGGAUCAAACAGGAUUAGAUACCCUGGUAGUCCACGCCGUAAACGAUGAGUGCUAAGUGUUAGGGGGUUUCCGCCCCUUAGUGCUGCAGCUAACGCAUUAAGCACUCCGCCUGGGGAGUACGACCGCAAGGUUGAAACUCAAAGGAAUUGACGGGGACCCGCACAAGCGGUGGAGCAUGUGGUUUAAUUCGAAGCAACGCGAAGAACCUUACCAAAUCUUGACAUCCUUUGACAACUCUAGAGAUAGAGCCUUCCCCUUCGGGGGACAAAGUGACAGGUGGUGCAUGGUUGUCGUCAGCUCGUGUCGUGAGAUGUUGGGUUAAGUCCCGCAACGAGCGCAACCCUUAAGCUUAGUUGCCAUCAUUAAGUUGGGCACUCUAAGUUGACUGCCGGUGACAAACCGGAGGAAGGUGGGGAUGACGUCAAAUCAUCAUGCCCCUUAUGAUUUGGGCUACACACGUGCUACAAUGGACAAUACAAAGGGCAGCGAAACCGCGAGGUCAAGCAAAUCCCAUAAAGUUGUUCUCAGUUCGGAUUGUAGUCUGCAACUCGACUACAUGAAGCUGGAAUCGCUAGUAAUCGUAGAUCAGCAUGCUACGGUGAAUACGUUCCCGGGUCU
rnacentral:rRNA from 1 species